rnacentral:misc_RNA from 2 species
GUGGCUGAGAUCAUACGGCCUCGGAACUUGAUCUGGAUAAUACCAGCGAAAGGAUCAUGCU